AACGAACGCUGGCGGCAUGCCUAACACAUGCAAGUCGAACGAGACCUUCGGGUCUAGUGGCGCACGGGUGCGUAACGCGUGGGAACCUGCCCUUAGGUUCGGAAUAACUCCCCGAAAGGGGUGCUAAUACCGGAUAAUGUCUUCGGACCAAAGAUUUAUCGCCUUUGGAUGGGCCCGCGUUGGAUUAGCUAGUUGGUAGGGUAAAAGCCUACCAAGGCGACGAUCCAUAGCUGGUCUGAGAGGAUGAUCAGCCACACUGGGACUGAGACACGGCCCAGACUCCUACGGGAGGCAGCAGUAGGGAAUAUUGGACGAUGGGCGAAAGCCUGAUCCAGCAGUGCCGCGUGAGUGAUGAAGGCCUUAGGGUUGUAAAGCUCUUUUACCCGGGAUGAUAAUGACAGUACCGGGAGAAUAAGCUCCGGCUAACUCCGUG
rnacentral:rRNA from 1 species